AUGGUGUCAUGGCGGAACGACACAGACUGCUGCAGGUGGGAAGGGAUCACCUGCAGCCCCAAUAGGACGGUCACUGAUGUUGAGCUGGCUUCUCGAGGUCUCGAGGGGUCCAUCUCGCCGUUCCUUGGCAACCUCACUGGCCUGUUACGUCUCAACCUGUCGCGCAACUCACUGUCCGGUAGCUUGCCACUGGAAUUGGUGUCAUCCAGCAGCAUCAUUGUCCUUGACGUCAGUUUCAACCGCCUGACUGGAGCUCUGCACGAACUGUCAUCUUCAACCCCUGCCCGGCCUCUGCAGGUACUGAAUAUCUCGAGCAACUUACUUGCAGGACCAUUUCCAUCCACCAUAUGGAAGACAAUGGAUAACCUGAUAACACUCAAUGCCAGCAAUAACAGCUUUACUGGGGCGAUACCAACUUAUUUCUGCAAUAGCUCACCAUACUUCACAGUGCUUGACCUCUGUUUCAACAAAUUUAGUGGCAGCAUUCCCCCAGGGCUUGGUGAAUGCUCCAUGCUGAGAGUGAUCAAGGCCGGCUACAACAAUCUCAGUGGAACACUCCCAGAUGAACUCUUCAAUGCAACCUCAUUGGAAUACCUCUCUUUUCCUAACAAUAAUUUACACGGUGUUAUUGAUAGUGCACGCAUAAUCAGCCUCAUAAAUCUCCGUACCCUUGAUCUUGGAUGGAAUAACUUCAAUGGCAGGAUUCCAGAUUCUAUAGGUCAGCUCAAGAGAUUGGAGGAGUUCCAUUUGCACUACAACAACCUGUCAGGGGAACUGCCAUCGACUCUGAGCAACUGCACAAAUCUUGUAAGAAUUGGCCUCAGGAGCAACAAAUUCAGUGGAGAACUUAUCAAUGUCAAUUUCUCCAACCUGCCCAAUCUGAAAACUUUAGAUCUUUGGUCCAACUUCUUCACUGGUACAGUUCCAGAAAGCAUGUACUCGUGCAGUAAUCUGACUGCGCUGCGGCUAUCUAGAAACAACUUACACGGGCAGCUCUCAUCGAGAAUAGGCAAUCUGAAGUAUCUGUCCUUCUUGUCACUUGGUGGAAACAAUUUCACAAACAUCACAAAUGCACUUCAGAUCCUUAAGAGCAGCAAGAAUCUUAGCAGCCUGCUUAUUGCGCACAACUUCAGAGGAGAGCUCAUGCCACAGGAUGACAGAAUUGAUGGCUUUGAGAAUCUUCAGGUUUUGGACAUGGAUGGUUGCCAAUUAUCUGGAAAUAUACCUCUAUGGAUAUCAAGGGUCACAAAUUUGGAGGUGUUAAUUUUAAGAAGCAAUCAACUAACCGGACCAAUGCCAGGCUGGAUCAAUUCCCUAAACCAUCUCUCCUAUAUAGAUGUGUCAAACAACAACCUUAAAGGAGAAAUCCCAUUAGCCUUGAUGGAGAUGCCAGUGCUAAAAUCAACUGACAACUCAAAUCAUUUGGAUCCAUGGGUCUUCAACCUGCCUGUUUAUUCUGGGCCGACGCUUCAAUACCGUGUGUUUACAUCUUUCCCAAAAGCAUUGAAUCUAAGCAACAACAACUUCACAGGUGUGAUUCCCCCACUGAUUGACCAGUUAAAAAAGCUUGGUGUACUUGAUUUCAGCUUCAACAAGUUAUCAGGACAGAUCCCCCAAUCGAUUUGCAACCUCACAAAGUUGCGGGUGCUAGACUUAUCCAGCAACAACCUCAUAGGUGCAAUCCCAGCUGCAUUGAACAGCCUGCACUUCCUUGCUGCAUUUAACAUUUCUGACAAUGAUCUAGAAGGUCCUAUUCCAUCUGGAGGCCAGUUCAACACAUUUGAGACUUCUAGUUUUGAUGGGAAUACAAAACUCUGUGGAUCAAUGCUCAUCCACAAAUGUGGUUCAGUGGAGGCACCUCCGGCCACUAUUCUGUCAACAAAACAAACUGAUUACAAGGUGGCCUUCGCAAUUGCCUUUAGUGUGUUCUUUGGUGUAGGGGUGCUGUAUGAUCAGAUAGUCCUAUCGAGGUAUUUUGGCUAG
rnacentral:rRNA from 1 species